GCCGGGGUAGCAAAGCGGCCUACUGCGCGGGCCUUGAGAGCCUGUGACCCUUCCGGGUCUCGUGGGUUCAAAUCCCACUCCCGGCG
rnacentral:tRNA from 1 species